GUUAAGAUGUCAGAUGUCUUCAGUUCGAGUUUCCAGGACUCAAACUCCCAUGAGUGUCCGCUGCUCUCCACCGCCAGACAAAACAGCAGAAGAUGAGUCAUGUUUCACGAUCACGUCCUGAGAGCAGCGUUGUGUUCACAGUGAUGACGCUCUGGGUUCAAACCCGCCAUCGGUGUGA